rnacentral:rRNA from 1 species
GGUUAAGCGACUAAGCGUACACGGUGGAUGCCCUGGCAGUCAGAGGCGAUGAAGGACGUGCUAAUCUGCGAAAAGCGUCGGUAAGGUGAUAUGAACCGUUAUAACCGGCGAUGUCCGAAUGGGGAAACCCAGUGCAAUUCGUUGCACUAUCGUUAACUGAAUACAUAGGUUAACGAGGCGAACCGGGGGAACUGAAACAUCUAAGUACCCCGAGGAAAAGAAAUCAACCGAGAUUCCCCCAGUAGCGGCGAGCGAACGGGGAGCAGCCCAGAGUCUGAAUCAGCUUGUGUGUUAGUGGAACGGUCUGGAAAGUCCGACGGUACAGGGUGAUAGUCCCGUACACCAAAAUGCACAGGCUGUGAACUCGAAGAGUAGGGCGGGACACGUGGUAUCCUGUCUGAAUAUGGGGGGACCAUCCUCCAAGGCUAAAUACUCCUGACUGACCGAUAGUGAACCAGUACCGUGAGGGAAAGGCGAAAAGAACCCCGGCGAGGGGAGUGAAAAAGAACCUGAAACCGUGUACGUACAAGCAGUGGGAGCACCUUCGGGUGUGACUGCGUACCUUUUGUAUAAUGGGUCAGCGACUUAUAUUCUGUAGCAAGGUUAACCGUAUAGGGGAGCCGCAGGGAAACCGAGUCUUAACUGGGCGUUAAGUUGCAGGGUAUAGACCCGAAACCCGGUGAUCUAGCCAUGGGCAGGUUGAAGGUUGGGUAACACUAACUGGAGGACCGAACCGACUAAUGUUGAAAAAUUAGCGGAUGACUUGUGGCUGGGGGUGAAAGGCCAAUCAAACCGGGAGAUAGCUGGUUCUCCCCGAAAGCUAUUUAGGUAGCGCCUCGUGAAUUCAUCUUCGGGGGUAGAGCACUGUUUCGGCUAGGGGGUCAUCCCGACUUACCAACCCGAUGCAAACUACGAAUACCGAAGAAUGUUAUCACGGGAGACACACGGCGGGUGCUAACGUCCGUCGUGAAGAGGGAAACAACCCAGACCGCCAGCUAAGGUCCCAAAGUCAUGGUUAAGUGGGAAACGAUGUGGGAAGGCACAGACAGCCAGGAUGUUGGCUUAGAAGCAGCCAUCAUUUAAAGAAAGCGUAAUAGCUCACUGGUCGAGUCGGCCUGCGCGGAAGAUGUAACGGGGCUAAACCAUGCACCGAAGCUGCGGCAGCGACACUAUGUGUUGUUGGGUAGGGGAGCGUUCUGUAAGCCUGCGAAGGUGUGCUGUGAGGCAUGCUGGAGGUAUCAGAAGUGCGAAUGCUGACAUAAGUAACGAUAAAGCGGGUGAAAAGCCCGCUCGCCGGAAGACCAAGGGUUCCUGUCCAACGUUAAUCGGGGCAGGGUGAGUCGACCCCUAAGGCGAGGCCGAAAGGCGUAGUCGAUGGGAAACAGGUUAAUAUUCCUGUACUUGGUGUUACUGCGAAGGGGGGACGGAGAAGGCUAUGUUAGCCGGGCGACGGUUGUCCCGGUUUAAGCAUGUAGGCUGGUUGUCCAGGCAAAUCCGGAUAAUCAAGGCUGAGGUGUGAUGACGAGGCACUACGGUGCUGAAGUAACAAAUGCCCUGCUUCCAGGAAAAGCCUCUAAGCAUCAGGUAACAUCAAAUCGUACCCCAAACCGACACAGGUGGUCAGGUAGAGAAUACCAAGGCGCUUGAGAGAACUCGGGUGAAGGAACUAGGCAAAAUGGUGCCGUAACUUCGGGAGAAGGCACGCUGGUGUGUAGGUGAAG